CAAAAAACCAAACAAACAACAAAGCCACCCCUUCUGCACAUAUAUAUACUCAAUACAGAAUUCUCAGGAGCUAUAAGAGAAUAGUCCCCAAGUCUUACUCACUUUGCUUCAUGGGUAUUAUGGAAGGACUGAAUGGAUCUAUCUUUCCUCCCCUAAGAGAGACAAGAAUGAGGCUGGAUAACACCUUCCCUACAGACUCAGUGAUGAAAUGCUUAAGGUUGGCCAUUUGACUACAGGAAUCACACAGACAGGAAGAUGAAUGCUUUCUUCUCAGAGGAUCAAAGAGGAGCCAGAAUUUCAGGAAACCAGACAUCUGUAAAGAGGCAAUGAGAACCUUCGCUCAAGGACCUAGCUCGAGGAGGCACAACCUACAGGUGGCUGGAAAGGCUGAAAAUACAUGGUGUGUGUGUUUAUUUGUACAAGGACAGCUAUGGAUGAAAUCAAGACCAGGUCUGACAAAGCCACCAUCCCAUCUCUUCCUCGGAUCCUUCUUGCUUAAUGUACCAUUUUGCCAAACUUCAGGUGUCGUUGGCCUUUGGUGGUCAGUGACCCUGAAAUAAAAUUCCUGGAAAAAUUACAUCCCUUCGUAUUAGUAAUUUUUAUCAUUUCUAUGAUAAAAUACCUAUUCAAAAGCAACCUUAAAACAAAGGGGUUUGUUUUGGCUCAUAGUAUGAGAAAACAUUUCAUCCGGGUGGUGAGGGAUGUCAAAGCAAUAACAGCGCUAGCUUAGAGGCAAGAAUAAUGCACCGCACCUGCAGUCAGGAAUCAGAGGAGUGGAUGCUGGUGUCCCACUAUCUUCUUACAAUAUGGUCUAGGAACCCUGUCAUGGGAUGAUGCCCUUAUCCACAGUAGGGCUUCCCCCCUUCAGGAGACACCCUCAAAGACCCAUCCAUAGCUGUGUCUCAUAAGUGAUUCUAAGAAACAGCAAGUUGACAACCAGGAUUAGUCAUCUUAAGUAUGCCACCCAUUACAGCACUUUUAAGUUGCACCACUCUAUCCCUGGUACAGUCUUCAUGAUGAUCCCAUAAUGAAAAGUUACAUUUAACAGUGAAAGCUUAGUUUGUCUUGAAUAGUUCUCCAAAUCUUGAGAGUCUAAAUAUUGCUCAAGAGUCCAGAUUUAAAGUUCAUCUCUAAGAUCCUGAGAUCUCUACCAAGACUCAAGGCAAUUUCUCAACUAUGAACAAUGCCUUUCUGAAAGGAAGGAGAGGAAGAACAGCGAGAAAAGAUCAGGCCAAAAGCAUAGUGAGGCAAGCACAAAAUUCUACAAUUCCAGGUCCAGCAUUUGGGGCUUUUUUAGUCAUCUUCUGGGCUCAGGUGGACUUGGCUCCUCUUCUCCAAUCCUACCAUCGGGCAUCAUCUGCAAUGCACGUGACUCAUCUUAGGCUAGCUCUGCCCUGGGCCUGAAAUUUUCAUUGGCAGAUGUCCCACGGUGCUGGAAUCUUCGGCAUCCUGGAUCUCCACUGCAUCGCCGCUGUGGGGCUUCGCCUUCACAGCUUCAUGCAAUAGUGCGUCAGUUUGAGAUGUAGUCUGGCAACCUUCCACUGCAGCUGUAGCAGCCCCUGUGCACCUUGUGCUGAACCCAAGCUAAUGCUUCCUUGAGUGGUUCUUUUCAAGCAGUGAACAUCUGCAAUGACAUUCUCUCUCUGCUACAAAUGAUUUGCAUCUUCACAAGUUGGAGCCUUUGAUAGAUGGGGUCUUGCCCCUCCUGUCUUUUUAUUGCUCCAGUGGGCAGCAUGAGGUUUUUCUUUAAUGUUACCAGUAACAGCUACAUCGGCUUUUUCUGCAUUUGCCUCCUCUGCCCACCUUAAACUCACUCAAGCUUCCUUCCUCACUAAAAGCAACUCGGUGAAGGAUCAGUUUGGCUCACAGUUUGAGGAUAUAGUUCAUUAGUAGGGAAGAAGUGGCUGCAGGAGCAUGAGGCCCGUGACCGCGCUGUUUCAGGAGGCAGAGAAACAUGAACGCUGGCGCUCCUCUGCUCGGCCGUGUCCUCUGC
rnacentral:sRNA from 1 species